GAUGAAGAACGCAGCGAAAUGCGAUACGUAAUGUGAAUUGCAGAAUUCAGUGAAUCAUCGAAUCUUUGAACGCACAUUGCGCCUGCCAGCACUCUGGCAGGCAUGCCUGUUCGAGCGUCAUUUCAACCAUCAAGCCCUAGGCUUGCGUUGGAGCCCUGCGGCUGCCGCAGGCCCCUAAAAGCAGUGGCGGGCUCGCUAUCACACCGAGUGCAGUAGAUUACUCUUCGCUCAGGGCGUGUGGCGGGUUCCAGCCGUGAAACCCCCUACUUCGCAAGGUUGACCUCGGAUCAGGUAGGAAUACCCGCUGAACUUAAGCAUAUCAAUAAGCGGAGGA
rnacentral:misc_RNA from 1 species